rfam:Chromobacterium sp. LK11, whole genome shotgun sequence.
UUGGCUGCUCGCUGCACUUGUCGGGUUGAAAAACCCCUACUGAUAAUUUGGAGUUACCCCAAAUGGCAAUGACCGCCGCUCAAAAAGCAGACAUCGUUAAAGACUUCCAGCGCAGCGAA